rnacentral:rRNA from 1 species
GACGAACGCUGGCGGCGGGCCUAAUACAUGCAAGUCGAACGAGCGGCGGACGGGUGAGUAAUGUCUGGGGAUCUGCCCGAUAGAGGGGGAUAACUACUGGAAACGGUGGCUAAUACCGCAUACUAUCGGAUGAACCCAUAUGGGAUUAGCUAGUUGGUGGGGUAACGGCUCACCAAGGCGACGAUCUCUAGCUGGUCUGAGAGGAUGAGCAGCCACACUGGAAGUGAGACACGGUCCAGACUCCUACGGGAGGCAGCAGUGGGGAAUAGUGCACAAUGGGCGCAAGCCUGAUGCAGCCAUGCCGCGUGUAUGAAGAAGUCCUUAUGGUUGUAAAGUACUUUCAGCGGGGAGGCGUUACCCGCAGAAGAAGCACCGGCUAACUCCGUGCCAGCAGCCGCGGUAAUAC